GCGCAAUUAAACAACAGUACAUCUUUGAAAAGCAGAAGUGGAGCCUCCUGCAUAACCAACAAGAAUUCAGCAAGAGGUUUCUGGAUGAAUUUUUUCUCAUGGCUCACCAGCGGAGUCAUUACGGUAACUGACGGUAACUGAUUUCCUUCUGCUUCAGAGGCCAACAGAAGUCAAGAUGAACUUUCCUUCAUGAUUCAUUUUGUUUCAUUACUCCAGAUUUGGCUUUAAUGCAUUUCAAAGUUUGUUUAAACUGAUCAACAGGAAGGCCACAGCUCC